GCCCGGGUGAUGGAACAGGUAGACAUGCCGCACUCAAAAUGCGGUGGCGAGAGCCGUGUGGGUUCGAAUCCCACCCCGGGCA
rnacentral:tRNA from 1 species